UACGAAGGGGAGCGAGCGUUGUUCGGAAUUGACUGGGCGUAAAGGGCGCGUAGGCGGCUUGGUAAGUUAGAGGUGAAAAGCCCUCGGAGGCUCAACCUCCGGAACUGCCUUUAAAGACUGUCUAUCGCUUGGAACGUCGGUAGAGGUGAAAUCGUGGAAUUCCGAGUGUAAGAGGUGUAAAUCGUAGAUAUCGGAAGAACACCAGUGGCGAAGGCGCUUACUGGACGGAACUGUGCGUGAGGUGCGAAAGCGUGGGGAGCAAACAGGAUUAGAACCGACG
rnacentral:rRNA from 1 species